UAUAGAGAUUUAUUAUUAAAAAAAACUAUGAUAUAAACAUUGCCUAUGGUUGAGUUCACGAUGGAUGUUAAUUAUUCCAGGUUGAAUAGUGGUGUCGGUCGAUCAACUAAGAAGGUUCGUACCAGAUCGGAUCUGCCACCGGAAUCGGAAGAUGGGCAAAAGAUUCAAGGUUUUGAUUUACCCAAGGUUUCGUAUAAGUCUACGCUUAUAGGAGCAUCAUCGGAAUAUUCGUAGAACGUAUUCAGAGAAGAAGAUUUUGCACUUAUUGAUGGAGACGUUGUCACGGAAGUGGUCGAGGGAGUUCCGUCAUUUUUUUUAUCAUGUUCAAAAGUAUAUUGAGCGUAGGAUUGCUAAAACAAUAAUAGUGAAAUUGUUAGGGAAGAAUAUUGGUUUUAAUGCAUUGUUGAAUACGGUUUCUCAUAUGUAGAAUCCAAGGGGCCCGAUCCAGUUGAUGGACUCGGAGAAUGAUUUUUUCUUGGUUCGUUUCCACGAGGAGGAAGACUAUAAUAUAGUGCUGGUUGGGGGGUUGGGGGGUUAUGGGUAAUAUUCGGUACUUAUCUGUCCAUUCGACCGUGGUCGUCGGAUUUUCAACUACCCAGAAUGAAAUCACCUUUCAGGUUAUGUGAAUCAGGCUACCAGGUUUGCUUGAGAGGUUCUAUUCGAGUUGUCUUCUUAAGGAGAUUGGUCAAACCGUUGGAUCAGUUGUGAAACUUGAUAUCCAUACGGACUAUGCUUGUCGGGGAUGUUUUGCACGGCUUGCGGUUUGUGUUGACUUGAGAAAGUCGUUGGUGUCGGAAGUGAGGAUUAAUGGACAGCUGCAACGGGUUGAGUAUGAGUCCUUACCGGAUGUAUGCUUCAAGUGUGAGUGCUAUGGACAUGGUGCGAAUCUGGGUACAGGGACCAAAGUUCAAUCGUCGGACGAAAACUCUGUGACGGCCAAAUCUAUUCAAGAGAAAUUUGGGAUUCAACGGCAAGUGAAGGAAGAGCCAUUUGGUCCUUGGAUGUUGGUGGAGCGACGGUAGAAAGGGAAGGGGCCGCUUUUCGGGGGCGGCUAGGAAUGAUGGUGUUGACGGUGGUUAUGGGGGAUCUCAAUUUGCGGCACUUGGAAGAGAUGAGGAUGAGAUUCAUGGUGUGAUUAAUGGGAAAGAUGAUGUAAGGGCAUUUGGAGGGAAUGAGGGUGUGAUUUUCGGUGAGGGUAAUGGGAGAGAGAAUAUUGAACAGUUUGGGGAGAUGAAGACCCAGGAGAAGGCUAUUAGAAUGGUGGAGAAUUUUGGGUUUAAAAAAUCAAAUGGGUUUUCUAAGAACCUUAAAUUAGGCUAGCGGGCUAAAGGAAAUGGACCUAUGAUUGGGACUGGGCCAAAGAAAGGUUUUAAGGCCUUGAAGCCUACUAAUGGAAAAUUGAACUUUAAGACAAUUGAUGACCAAACAGCUUUUGAUGAUGGUUCAAAGAUGGUAGCAAAAAUGGGUGUGGACCAUGAGUUAUCUGUCCAACCCGUCAGUGUUACUUCUAAAUUGGACAAUGACAAAACAUAAGGUUGUGCCUGUUGUGGAGAGGAAAAUUUCUGGGGUGGAUAAAGGGUAGGAGAAUAGGGUGUUUAAUUUUGGGGAAUCAAGUGGGGCUGCUCAAAUUAACAUACCAAAAAUUUGAGAUAUUGGGAAUGGGCAACAUGAUAAGCCACCGGAUAUUGUUGUGAAUGGAUUUUCGAAUGACACAGUGAACUUAGAAGCAACAAUGAAGGGUUUGGUUUAUGGUCUUGAACAGGGUCCUAAUGGCGCUCCAAUGGAAGAUGACGUCCCAUUUGUGGAUGGUGAGAGUGACGGUGGAGAUAAGGUUAGUUGCUAGAUUGUUGGUUGUUUCUCGGGUUGUCUUAUAUAUAUAUAUAUAUAUAUAUAUAUAUAUUUAUUUUUUUUAUGGACACAAAAAUAUUUUUAUGGAAUUGUCAAGGAGCCGGACAUUCCCAUUUCCAUAAUGUUGUGAAUGAGUAUAAGAAGGAAUUUUUUUCGGGUUUGAUUUGUUUGUUUGAAACACGGGUUAGUAGAGCUAGGGCCGAUGGUAGUAUUGCAAAACUUGGGUAUCCUAAUUCGUUUUAGGUUGAGGCUAAUGGGUUUGCUAGUGGAAUUUGGUUAUAUUGGAAUGAGAAUAUUCUGGUAGAUAUUUUGGAAAUUCAUUGUUAUAUGAUUCAUUUGAGGAUUCGUAGUAAGCAAGGUCCUGAUAGUUUUAUUUGUUCAGUUGUUUAUGCUAGCCCUCAUUCAACAACAAGAAGGAAGCUUUGAAAGUUGUUGGAUUCUUUGGCGAAAUCAGUAGUUGGUCCUUGGAUCUUGGCUGGGGAUUUUAAUUCGAUUAUUGAUAGCUUUGAAAGGGUGGGUGGUGUACUUGUUUCAAGAAUUGGAUGCAGAUGGUUCCGUGAGUUUUUAUUUAGAAAUGGAUUGCGAGAUUUAAGAGCUAGUGGAGCGCAAUUUACAUGGAGUCAAGAGAACUUUUCUCAGAGACUAGAUAGGACUAUUGUAAUUUAGAUUGGGGUUCUUUUGCACCUGAUUGUUCUGUUAGGAACCUUCAUGGAUUGAAAUUAGAUCAUCAGUCGAUUUUCAUCACGCUUAGACUGAAGGUGAGCAGGGGUGUCAAGCCAUUUUGUUGCCUUGCUAGUUGGAUGCUUUAUGCAAAUUUUCAACAACUAGUGAGUGGUAAUUAGAACAAUGAGCGGGCAAUUAAUAAGAAUUGAGAGCAUUUCCAGUAAGUAGUUCAGGAGUGGAAUAAGCGUGUUUACGGUAACAUUUUUGUGCGUAAAAUAAAUUUGAUUUUAGAGUUGGGAAGAGUGCAAAGAGUCUUGGAGUGGCACAAUUCUCCAUGACUCCACUCUCGUGAACUUGAGCUUCAACGGGAAUUUGAAGAAGUGUUAAAGCAUGAGGAGUUACUGUGGUAUCAAAAAUCUAGAUUAGUUUGGCUAAAGAAUGGGGAUAGGAAUACGAGUUAUUUUCAUAGUCAUACAUUGGCUAGGUGGAAAAGAAAUAAGAUAGAGGGGCUUAUCAUUGAGAGUGGUGAUUGGUGCUUUGAUGAUGAUGAGUUGAAGCAUCAUGUUGUAAAUUUUUACAGAGAUCUUUACACAAUAGAUUAUUCGGUUAGUGGUGUAUUUCCAUGUCGUGGUAAAUUUCCUUCACUACAGUCCGAGGAGAAAGGGGAUCUACUAUUAAUGGUUUCUGAUGAUGAGGUUCGUAAGGUAGUCUUUGGUAUGUCUCCACUGAAAACACCUAGGGUGGAUGGGUUUCAUGCGAAGUUUUUUCAAUCUCAAUGGAAUACUGUUGGGCCCUUGGUCUAUUCGCUAGUUAGGCAAACGUUGGGAGGUUGUUAGAUCUGAAUCUGAACAAAACUUUAUUGGUACUACUGCUUAAGGUGCAAAGUCCGAAAAGAAUUUAUCAAUUUUGCCCGAUAAGUUUUUGUAUAGUUCUUUAUAAAAUAAUUACUAAGACCACUGUUAAUAGAUUGCGACCUUUAAUGGUUAAGCUAAUUUGUCAGAACCAAGUAAUAUUUAUCCCAAGCAAGAAUAUUACAUAAAACAUAGCCGUGGCACAAAAAGUUGUGCAUUUGCUAAAGAGUUUUAAAGGUAACAUAUAUGGGAUGGUGCUAAAAAUUGAUUUGGAAAAGGCUUAUAAUAGAAUCAGGUGGGAUUUUCUAAAGGACACACUUUCUGGAGCUAGGUUUCCUUAGCUUAUAAUAGAAUCAGCUAGGUUUCCUCGUCGACACUUCAGGUUCUUUGGAAUGGAUCUGUUACAGAGUCUUUUCAGCCUACGCAAUGAAUAAGGUAGAGAGGUCCACUAUCUCUUUAUCUUUUUGUGUUGUGUAUAGAGAGAUUGGGGAAUCUUGUUGGGGAGGCGGUGGAAUAAGGCUCGUGGAAACUGUUAUUUCUUUCACAGAGAGGUCUGACCUUACCUUACCUAUUCUUUGCUGAUGAUUUAAUGCCAUUCUGUGAAGCGAGUAGGAGUUAAGCAGAUAUUGUGAACAUUAUUUUGGACACUUUUUUGUUAUUUUUCUAGUCAAAAAGUGAAUAGAAGUAAAUCACAAAUGUUUUUUUUCUCCUAAUACUCCUGAAAACAUUGCGGAGACUAUAUGUAUUGAGAUGGGUUUUAAUCGGGUGGAGGAUCUUGGUAUCUAUCUAGGGCUACCGUUAUUGCAUAAUAGAGUUACGGUGAAAACGUUCGAUUUCGUUGUGAACAAAGUACAGAUGAAAUUGUCUGGAUGGGUUGCGAUGAAAUUGUCUUUAGCUGGUCAUAUAACUUUAGUAAGGUCCGUUCUCUUAGCUAUUGUAAAUUAUUUUAUGUGUACGAUGCGUAUCCCUAUCUCCAUGUGUAAAGAGAUUGAGAACAUUGCCCAUAACUUCAUUUGGCGAGCUAGUUCAGGGUCAAGGGAACCUGCUUUGUUAUCAUGGGGGAGUGUUGUCGUCCAUUGGAUUUUGGAGGUUUGGGCCUAAGAAAUCUAGAAGAUCAAAACAAAGUUUUCUUAUUAAAGCUUAGUUUUCGGUUUCUCUCGAAUACAGAUUCUGUGGGUUAGAGUGUUUUGGAGUAAAUACAACAUAUAAGGUUUACUUCCAAGCUCUAUUUCCAAAAGUAAUUGUUCGUUCAUAUGGAGGUCUUUUAUGAAGUGCUGGCCAGAAAUCAUUGCUAAUGUAUACUGGUUCGUUGGAGAUGGUCGUCCACCGAACUUUUAGAAUGAUUUGUGUCGUAGGAAGGUGGGUUCUUUACAUGACUUCUAUAUAGGUCCUGGGUAGCCGGAUGACACCUUACGAGUUUGCGACAUGGUAUCGGAAAAUGGAAGUUGGGAUUGGAGUCGUCUUAGUGUUGUUGUAUAGGGUCACAUUAUUUUGCACAUUUCAGCCCUAAUGCCUCCGACGUCUAAAGUGGGUCAGGAUUGCCUAGCUUGGAAAUGGAUGAGGAGAUAUGUGUUUUCUACUGCUAAAACUUAUAGGAAUUUGAUCUUUGUUGAAGACACUAAAUCAUCUGCUAUUUGGAAUUUGAUAUGGAAAGUGAAGGCACCUCAAAAGCAGUGUUUUGAAAACGAAGGUCCAUGCAAUUCGGGAUUGUGCUUUUUCUAAAACAAUAUGGCUUGUUGUGAUUUCGAGGCGAGUUUAUGAUGUUUUCUUCUCCUUGCCGUUCAAUGAAUGGCUCUUAUAGAAUUUACAGAAUAAAGGGAGUUGUGGUAACGUUGAUAUUGGUUGGCAAACUUUGUUCCCAAUCUUAUGUUGGUUCCUUUGGAAAAACAGAAAUUCUUUUGUUUUUUCUAACAACCAUAGUUGUACUUGAGCACUUUUGGAUAUAGGUUAUACAUGGGUGAGGAGUUAUGCAGAGACGGAUCUGAAAUGAGAACAUCCUAGUUCCACGUGAUCUUUAUUGAAUUGGUCUCGUCCUGGGAGGGAUUGGAUAAAACUUAAUACGGAUGGGACAGUGUCACAUAAUGGUUCUCAUGCGUCCAUUGGAGGUGUAUUUCAAGACUCUAAUGCUGAAUGGUUGUGGUUACAUGAUGCUUUUGGGUAAGGAUACUGUUUUCAAAAUUGAGGCUAGAGUGAGGUGAAAUGUGAUAAUUCUUUGUUAGUAAAGUUACUAUUAGUAGGUGGUGGCGCUAAUAGUAAGUUGGUUGAGUUAAGGCUCUUGCAUCGGAAGUGGAAAGUAAGAAUGAGUCACAUUCCAAUGGAGUAUAAUGGGAUUGCAGACCACAUGACUAAAUGUGUUGUAAUUAGGAAUUGAAAAUUGUAACUGUUUGAAGAACCCCCAACUUUAAUAGAUUGAUGUAAUCGUCUUAUGCUUUCUUUAUCGAAAAAAAAGAGAGUUAAAUUGAUGAGGCUUAUAAACUAUUCCUUUCUUUAAUUAAAUCAUUAUUGGAAAGAUG